UAGGGAAUCUUCGGCAAUGGAGGGAACCCUGACCGAGCAACGCCGCGUGAGUGAAGAAGGUUUUCGGAUCGUAAAGCUCUGUUGUUAAGGAAGAACGAGUGUGAGAAUGGAAAGUUCAUGCUGUGACGGUACUUAACCAGAAAGGGACGGCUAACUACGUGCCAGCAGCCGCGGUAAUACGUAGGUCCCGAGCGUUGUCCGGAUUUAUUGGGCGUAAAGCGAGCGCAGGCGGUUAGAAAAGUCUGAAGUGAAAGGCAGUGGCUCAACCAUUGUAGGCUUUGGAAACUGUUUAACUUGAGUGCAGAAGGGGAGAGUGGAAUUCCAUGUGUAGCGGUGAAAUGCGUAGAUAUAUGGAGGAACACCGGUGGCGAAAGCGGCUCUCUGGUCUGUAACUGACGCUGAGGCUCGAAAGCGUGGGGAGCGAACAGG
rnacentral:rRNA from 1 species